AGCGCAGGCGGGAAGACAAGUUGGAAGUGAAAUCUAUGGGCUCAACCCAUAAACUGCUUUCAAAACUGUUUUUUCUUUGAGUAGUGCAGAGGUAGGCGGAAUUCCCGGUGUAGCGGUGGAAUGCGUAGAUAUCGGGAGGAACACCAGUGGCGAAGGCGGCCUACUGGGCACCAACUGACGCUGAGGCUCGAAAGUGUGGUAGCAAACA
rnacentral:rRNA from 1 species